GGUGUGAAAAGCAGUAGGGAGCGUGUGGGAGAAAGAUAACUUGAUUUUGAAAAUUAUGCGAAGGUCACUCAAGACAACCGUGACCUGUCAUAGCAACCGCCGGCGAGACCUAGGAAGACUGCAAACCCCAGAGUACAACGCGGUAAAGGGGAUUUGGUACAUAGGCUAUCCCGCGGUCUCACAGACGUAGAUUCCGCCUAAAAGGAAGCCCCAAGCGGCUCCCCGACGUUAUGAGCACUUCCGGUCUGAAAAAUAAGCGCCGUUUUCUCACUUCGAACUUACUUCUAAGGGGUUUUCACCAUAGACGCGCGUCGCACAGUGGUGUACGCCAUUUCCGGGUGGAGUGCGUGCGGCGGCGGC